AAGUACUUCCAAUUUAUUCCAAAAGGUCUCGUAACUGCUUGGAAGGUGAUGUAACCCUACUGCAAUUUAAAAACUCUGAGUUUAAUUAGCCCAACUUCCAGUGUACCUAGGAAGUUCUAAACGUUUAGACAUUCUACAUUUUUUUUCUCAAAUCCUCCAGAACAAAUGCACUUGAACAUGAGAUGGAUAAUGGCCCACCAAAUACGCUCCUGUAACCAGGGAGGGAAAAUGGCGUUAACACGUAUGUGUGUAAUUGGUAUCCAUGAUCAGUUUCAGUGUGUCUGUCGAGGCUUAAUCCUUUACUUGCUCUGCUGCUGGGGAAGGACUCAGUUGCAUUCCCUCAAAAUAUGUGUUGGAAUCCUAACCCUUACACCUGUAGAUGUGAUCCCAUUUGGGAACAGGGUUGUCUCUGUUAUGGUAAUGAGGCCUUAUGGGUGUAGGGUGUGUCCUAAACCCAAUCAUUUCUGAGUUAUAAGGAGCAGCACAGGCACAGAGACAAGGAAGCCCAAACGGGGGACGACAGAUGCCCCAUGAAGAUGGACAAGAAACCAAAGAGCUCCAGGGUUACAGAGCUGGCAGAGAGCGAGCCUUCCCUUACAGCCGGUGCCCUAAAUUUGGACUUCUAGCCUCCUAAACUUUGAGAAAAUAAAUUUCUGUUUUGUAAAGGCACCCACUUGUGGUAUUUCUGUGACAGCAGCCCUUGGAAACUAGGACAGCCACUAAAGGAAACACUUACGAGGUUGAGAUUUGCGGAGUAAGGAGCAGGGUCCCAGGCCACCAAAACGACGUCUUUAUACAACGAACUGUCGAUGAAGUGGUGGUUGGGGUUGGUCAGAAUCUGCAAAUGUACAGAAAAGUAUUUCAAAACAAGUGUUUGCUUCUUCAAAGAUUAUAUUUUUAACACGCAUUAAAAAAAAGUUAAAAAGAGGAAUCGAAGCAAGCGAAAAUGCUCCUCAGACUUCCUAUUUUCCAGUGGGGUCUGAAGAAGGGCAGGCAUAGCAUGCUGAAGCACUUCGAGAAUGUUCGGGGAAAUGGGCUUAAAUGUUCCCCAGCACUUUACCCAGCUCUAGCAGCAUCCAGUCAGCUCUGUAGAGAUGCAAUUCUUGGGCUAAUUCAGGCCCCCAACCUCUUCUUCUACGAUUGCUUUGACAGAGUUUUGAAACUUUAGAAAUUGUCGUGGUUUGUUCUGAGAAUAACUUGGCUAUAAAUUUGGAGCACUUUCAUAAAAGAACAUGAAGAAAAGAGGCCCAGUGACUGCGGAAGCGUAUGCUGCAACUCAAAAUCCAGGGAAUGUGCAAGGAGACCUUUCUGUUGUUUGUUCUUAAGGAGUUGGGGGCUUUUUCCAGAAUUUCUCUUUGGAUGCCACCAAGUAGCAGUCGUGUGUGAACAGCCUGGGCUUGGAUCUCGCUUCUCCACUUUUGCUGGAUGACCAUGGGUAACUGGACAUUUCAAAUCCUAAACUUUCAGAUGGAAACCAAUGUCUCAGAGAAGAAACUAGUCUACAGAGCUGACAGUCUACACAAGCCACGGCCUCAUCUACCCUCAGACCAGAAGAACUAGAUGGUGCCAGUCUACCACUACCGACCAUGAUGGAACCUAACAGAAUGGGAGAAGAAUGCAGAACAUAACCCAAAUUUUUCAAAUUCUUAAAAAGUCCAGACUUACUGGACCAGUUGAGACUAGAGGAUGCCCUGAGAUUAUUGCCCCGGGAUACUCUUUAAACCUUGAACUGAAACUAUCCUGAGGCCACCUUUUAGCGAAAUAACGGAUCGGCACACAAAAUAAUGGAUGUUAUCCAUGAGUAAGGUGCUCCAUGAAAAGACCAUCUAUAUGAGACCAAAAGGUCAACAAUUAAAACAAAGCUGAGACAAUAAGGGGAUAGGGAAACUAGAGUAUUAGAAAUGGAAUAACCAGAUUGCAAUUAAGAGAAUGUUGACACAUUAUGAAAAAUGUAACUAAUGUCACUGAACAGUUUGUGUAGAAAUUGUCAAAUGGGAGCCUAAUUGGCUGUGUAAACUUUCACUGAAAACAAAGUAAAAUAUUAUUUUAAAAAAAUCCCAAGUUCUCUAACAGCAAAUACUAUAUGCCCUCAUAUACACACCUUUCUCCUACCUCCCAUUUCCCAACCUUUCUCCUACCUCGCAUUUCCCAUACACUUCCCAGAAUUUAAGUUUCAUUUAAGUGAAGUACACAGACUCUUAUUUUCCAUUUCAAGGCUAUUACUGUUAGCUAAGAGCAGACAUUUUCCUUCUCGGUAGCGUGUUUGCACAGGACUGCUAGUAGACACUCUGAUGACCUAAUUAUUAUUGUUCAUCUGUAUGGGUGAAAAACAUUAUCUCGUGAUUCUAGAAAAGAACUUUCCAUGUUUCCAAAAUAACUCAAUUUGCUUUUCAAUAACAUAUUCAAAGUGGAGGUGUUUACAACUGCUACACUCUUCUCAAAAACAAUUACAAGGUCUGACUCAGUCUAACAGCAGAGGAGGUGAGGGGAUUGUAUCACCAAUGGAGGAAAAGCAGAAGAGGGAGCUAGAGGGCAGCCGACAAUCACGCCUGAGUAACUGGUCUCUCUUUCAGAGUCCGGGGAGUCACUGAGUACUCAGGGAUGUUCAGCCUGGAGGAGGCCUCCAGGCAGAGCUGAGGUGGUGCGAAUAAGCACAAAGCCUUCUGGUAUUUUCUAGCUCUGUCCCCAAUUUUAAGAUCAAGAUCUUUGGUGGAGUCUUUUGGUCCUUACUUAGCCAAUUUCACACGUAGAUAUUUUGGACCAAGAUGAGUUUAUCUAAGAUAGUACAGCAUGCCCCAGAAAUCCAUGUUUCCAGAAUUCCAAGUUUCCUGAGGAAAUACGCCACAUAAACUUGUUUUUAGGAAAUGAGCUGUUACUAACUUGGUGAGCAUGCACACAUAUGUGUAGAAGACGGGGGGAGG